UCUAUUCCGAGCGGCUUACUUAGCCAAAUCAGAAAAGCAGAAUGUUACAUUGCUGGUUCCAUGGCUAUGUAAGUCUGAUCAAGAGUUGGUUUAUCCCAACCAACUUACUUUUAGUUCUCCUGAAGCUCAAGAGCUUUAUAUACGCAAUUGGCUCAAGGAGCGAAUUGGUUUCAAGGCUGACUUCAAGAUUUCAUUUUACCCUGGAAAGUUUUCCAAAGAAAGGCGGAGCAUUUUACCAGCUGGAGACACUUCUCAGUUUAUCCCAUCUAGGGAUGCUGAUAUUGCAAUUUUGGAGGAGCCAGAACAUCUCAAUUGGUACCACCAUGGAAAACGUUGGACUGAUAAAUUCAACCAUGUUGUUGGCAUAGUCCACACAAACUAUUUGGAAUAUAUCAAGAGGGAAAAGAAUGGGGCGCUUCAAGCCUUUUUUGUGAAACACAUUAACAAUUGGGUCACGAGAGCAUAUUGUGACAAGGUUCUCCGCCUUUCUGCUGCUACACAAGAUUUACCCAGGUCUUUGGUUUGCAAUGUUCAUGGUGUCAAUCCAAAGUUUCUGAAAAUAGGAGAAAAAGCAGCUGCAGAUCGACAAAGCGGCCAGAAAGUUUUCUCUAAAGGGGCAUAUUUCCUAGGCAAAAUGGUUUGGGCGAAGGGAUACCGGGAGUUGAUAGAUCUCUUAUCAAAGCACAAAACUGAAUUUGAUGGCUUUCAUUUGGAUGUAUUCGGCAAUGGGGAAGAUGCUCAUGAAGUACAGUGUACGGCAAAGAGGUUAAAUCUCAAUGUCAACUUCAUGAAAGGUAGAGACCAUGCACAUGAUUCUCUUCAUGGUUAUAAAGUCUUCAUAAAUCCUAGUAUCAGUGAUGUGCUCUGUACUGCCACAGCUGAGGCUCUUGCAAUGGGGAAAUUUGUAGUCUGUGCUGAUCACCCAUCCAAUGAAUUUUUCCAGGCAUUUGCCAACUGUUUGACUUACAAGACACCUGAAGACUUUGUUGCAAAAGUUGAGAAGGCUAUGUCUAGCGAACCUCAACCUCUCAGUCCGGAGGAGCAAUACAAGCUUUCAUGGGAGGCUGCUACACAGAGGUUCAUGAAAUAUUCUGACCUCGAAAAGGUUUUGAGCGAUGAAACAAGUCUGGACAGGAGACGUCGGAAAGGCAUGGGUAAGUCAGUUUCCAUGCCAAACCUAGAAGAGAUGGUUGAUGGGGCUCUUGCAUUCACACACAAUUGUCUCACAGGGAAUGAGUUCUUGAGGUCGUGUACUGGUGCAAUACCCAGAACUCGGGAUUAUGACAAACAGCAUUGCAAUGAUCUCCAUCUCUUGCCUCCUCAGGUAGAAAACCCAAUAUAUGGCUGGUAAAUAGAAUACGUAACUAACAUGUAUAUCAUUAUUUCUUAUAUGUAUUAUAGGAUGUUAGAAAAACUGGAUGCUUGUUAAUCCUUAGCUCCAAUUCUAACGGUCUAGGUUUUGAUGCUUUCUAGCUAUUGAUGUUGAUGCAGUUAGCCCUGCAGGGUUAGUUCAUAGGAUUUAUACGUAAAGUUUGUAACUUGUAAUAGUCAUACCUCUUCUGUUUCAUGUUUAUGGUAUCGGGG
rnacentral:misc_RNA from 1 species